UACGUAGGUGGCGAGCGUUGUCCGGAUUUAUUGGGCGUAAAGGGCGCGCAGGUGGUGCGGUAAGACUGCCGUGAAAUCUCCCGGCUCAACUGGGAGGGGGCGGUGGAGACUGCCGGACUAGAGGCACUCAGAGGCCGGUGGAAUUCCCGGUGUAGUGGUGAAAUGCGUAGAGAUCGGGAGGAACACCAGUGGCGAAGGCGGCCGGCUGGGGGUGACCUGACGCUGAGGCGCGAAAGCGUGGGGAGCAAACAGG
rnacentral:rRNA from 1 species